UUAGCGUUUUGAUUAAAUGCUUCAAAAUAUUACCAACGAAAGGUUAUUAGUGUAAUUACAUAAUAACAUUUAAUUAAAUAUAAUUUUAAUAAAAUUAUUUCAUUGGAAAUGUAUUUCAGGAUUCUCCUCUAUUUUUGGACCUUAUAAAUACCCCCUGACCAGACCACUUUCAAGCAUCCAAAAGGCAAUUCAUUCAAAGCUUUGAACGAUCUACGCGUAGGGCUUCAUCUUCUCCCUCUUCAAAUGGCGCUUCGUAAAUUACUCUCGAAGCGUCUUUCUGAAACGUACAGACUGGCCUCACCGGCGGUUACUCUAGAACACCAAGCCACACUACCACCAAAUGCAGCCAAAACCAACUUUCACACAGAGUACCUGACCUUGCCGGAAUCCUCCGAGAAAGGAUGUUUCCGGCGAUUCCUUCAUCGGAAAGCCAUCAACCAGUUGCCUGAGUUCCUCUCCCUGCCAGUCGGAGAGAAGCUGAGGGAGAAGCUCAAAGGCAUCAACAACAUUACCGGAGAACGGCUGCGCCUGGAUGGACUCGCUUCUCCGGUGAAGGAAACGGUUGCCAAAGAUCCUAAUCUGUUUGGAUUUUCGAUUGAGGAUGCGAGGAAACUUCUGAGGCUCUCUCUGGUGGAGAAGCUAAAGGCGAAGCUCAGGGAGAUUCCGAGGAGCUCAAUUUCGUACUCUGAGUUCGUUCAGAUGUGUAUUGAGGAGUGUGGGAAUGAAAAUCAAGGAAUCGAGUUUGCUAAGACGUUGGACCAGUCCGGAAACGUCAUCGUUAUGGGGAAUAUUGUGUUCCUCCGGCCCGAGCAGGUAUUAAAUUUAACAUUUUCCCUUAUUUAAAAAAAAAAUAGUAAUAUUAAUAAUAAAUAGGAACCCAUCGGCUUUGUCAUUGGAAAAAGCUUGUGUGACUCGUGUGUGUGGACCCAAAUCGAGCUUGUCCCAUCCAGGGAAGUCUGUAUCUGUACCGUAAGGAAUAGAAUUAUAUGGAAAUCAGUUGGAUCUGAUUCUUUGAAACUGUGAGUGGCCUUGUUUAGUUUCUAGAAAUGGGUUGCAAGUGGCAUUCAUGAAAUUGUCUCAGGUCCACUUGCUUUCCGAGGCUUCUUCCCGGUGAAAAUGCCGAACGUGGUAGUGAUAUUCUGAUUAAGCCCACUACUUUACCCGUUAAAUUACCUAAAAAUUUCAACAAAUUAAUAUGCUCAACGAUCUAAAUUUGUUUUCUGUGAUUGAUAGGUGGCCAAAUCAAUGGAGAAUAUAAUCUCUCAAUCGAUAUCCACUCGAAAUGACCCAAGAAGAAAAGAACUGGAGCAAAUGGAGCAACAAAAGGCCGUAAUCGACCAAAAGGCCCGAAGCCAAGUUCGGGGUGAGCUUUAUUGUGGAUUGGGCUUCCUGCUGGUACAAACACUUGGGCUCAUGAGACUCACUUUCUGGGAGCUCAGCUGGGAUGUUAUGGAGCCCAUAUGCUUCUUUGUCACCUCGCUUCAUUUUGUCCUGGCCUAUGCUUUCUUUCUUAGGACAUCCGUUGAGCCUUCUUUUGAAGGAUACUUCCAGCGAAGGUUCAAGGCCAAGCAGAAGAAACUCAUGCAAGUCCACAGCUUUGAUAUGGAAAAAUAUAAAGAGCUUCGAAAAGCGUUUUAUCCAAACUUGGGUUAUGGGCUUCCUCACUCGGAACAUUAUAAGCAAUUGAACCGCGAUGAGGGAGCAUUUCUUAGAUCAAUGCACCAUUGAAAUAAGUUAGUAAAUUUCUAGCAAUAAAUAGUAAAAAAGAACCAAAGUUUUGAUGAUGAACCUAGAUGGACUGAGAAGUUUUGUUGAACUCAGUGAUAGCCUAAAUUCAUGUUUGGAAUCUGUACAUUACAGGAGGAAUAAGCCCUGAUAUAUUGAACUUAUAUUUUGGAGGACAAUCACCAGAUUGGCCUGAGGACCUAGCGCCAGAAUCAGUUGUAUCAUGGUCGACAUGUCAAUUGUCCACUAUGGUUAUGCAAUAGAUUCCCCAGCUAAAAUGUUCUUCAUUUUCUCCUUUGUGAAGCAUACAUGUCCGAAUACAA
rnacentral:misc_RNA from 1 species